ensembl:lncRNA
CCCAAUUGCUCACGGACACCCGACGGGGCGGUGGGAUUCGGGGUGAGGAGGCGGCGCGCUCUGUUGGCAGGGCGGAGGGGUGGGGAGUCCCAGAGGGACACACUUGGGAUGGAGAGACCCAACAGAGAGCCCACGUUUUGGCUGGUGGGAUGGAGAGCCCCACGCGGGCAGUGCGCAGCGAGGCUUUACCUCCUGCAGCAGACAGGAGGCAAGAAGGGCAAGAAAACGGGCUGAGGGAAUUAAAGCCCAUCGUAACGCCCUCCAAAGGGGCACACUGAGGGCACAGACCGUCCUUAAACACCGCUUCCUUCCCCCAUAUAAAUACUCGGUAUGGCAAUAAAGCAAAAAGAAAAGGCCGCGGUGCCCGGAGAGCCCCCCCAGCACCACACAGAGCCCUCCCCGCCCCUCAGUGCAGCACAGGGGGUCCUUCUGCCCAACCCCACACACAGAAGGCAAAACCGUUCCCACUGCGCUGCCUCGGUGACCUCAUGGCCCUCAGCGAGGAGCCGGGCUGUAAUCAUGGCCCACGUGUUAUUGGUGGCUUGGAAGCGUUUAUUCUUAAGAGGGGACCGGUUGGGAGACAGGCGCUUCAAAGGACUCCGGAGAAAGCAAACAAUUAUGGACAAAUCACCUCCACACACACAGACACCGGGAAUCGAAACGCAAAGGGCAGAGGGCUGUCUGUACAGGGAGAUGAAGCAACUGUUUGUCUCCUUGAAGCACCACCCUGCGUGUGCGUUACGUUAACCGUCCAAAGCAGGCAAAACCAGAUGAAAGCAUAAAUAGAAACCCAUGAGCUCACAGCCCUGGGCCCUCCAGGCCGAGCUGCACAGCCAGGGACGCAGCACGGAGACGUGCUGAGGGCACCGGGAGUUCCAGCCUCACACCGUGCUGUAUGCUGGGCUGUGCAGCUCACAGCCUGCUCCCACAUUGCCCACUGCUGGAGCACUCCGUGUCCUCCCAGCAGGCUGACAGGACACCACACAGCACAGCACUGCACAGCAUGCUGUUGUGCAGCAGUUUGGGAUGUGCUCUAUGGGAAAGGGAAACUUGCAAACCUCUCUUCCUGCCGUGGGGUUCCUCCCCGCUGCUCGCUGAGCGUGGCACAUCAGCAGGCUGUCCUGCAAAGGAAGAGGUGAUUUUGCUUGGAACUCCGCUGCCAUGGCCGAGCAUUGCCACACUGAGUACCCACUGGGCACAGCCGUAACUUCGAGCUCUGCAACUGCAAAGGUUGUUUUGCAAAGCUCCAAAGUGGGGCUGUGCGGAGAGCGCCGUUCGCAGCUGCAGUGUGAGGGCAGUGAGGAACAGAUGGGCUGCUAUGGAAAUGGGGAGGAAGAGCCCCUGGAGGUGAGGGGAGUUUGGAAGUCGUGUGCAGACGCAGUUCAACUUCCAAGCUUAUCCCAGUGAUGGGUAAGGAUAACUGCUAAGGAUAAUUUCCUCCCGAAGGCUUUUUUAUGACACCACAUUCGGUUUGCAUUGAAUGUUCAGGGCGAGCUGAGGCUGACAUCAGAAAAUUCAUCCGUGGAGAGGAUUUCUUCAUCCACGGAAAGAAAAGGACUUCUUGUGCCCACCUCCCCCUUAAGGCUCAGCUCUGAGAGGCAUCCCAGUCACUGUAGGUACAGACAGUGGGAAAGGAGACUCCACAAACCCCAGCUCUUGGGACCCAGCCAUGGCACAGCACAACCCGGUGCUAUUGGGGUGAGCACCUCCGAGCAGUGCUGCCUUUUAGGAUGAGUGCAGGGCUCACAGGAGCAGCACAAACCCGUGGUGCUCCUUUAGGAGCCCAGCACACGGAUUGCUGCUGGCGGCGGACUUUGACCUCUGGAAGACCAACGGGAAAAGCUCAAUCCACAAAUCCCAAGGACUUUUCGUCUCGUUAUACAACACGGCAGUCAGGUUCCCAACCUAAACAUGUCCGGCCAUGGCAGAACCCAAACCUGGCAGGUGAGUAUUGGAGUUCUUAUGUUCAUGAUGUGGGUCCAGAACAACCACGGUUGACUACAAGAGUAGGGAUUGAGAGGAGCCCUUUUCAGGAGCAACACUGAAGGGUGGGAGGUCUGCAGUGAAGGUACAGCAGGAGGCAGAGCCCAGAGCCCGCAGGCUGAGAACUUCUGCUCACCUUCUUUGCAGUUACUGGAACACGGAGGGUGGGCAAAUAGCAACUUAAAUGAUAAGCAGCCACCUCGUAGUGCUCUGCAUGAAGCAGAGUUCACAGACAUUCGGAGCAAGGCGUUAUUAGGGUUCUGAAAGGAUGGGUAUCACUCAGCUGAAAGUAAAUGUUAACAUCUACAAGGUGAGCUUCUAGAAGGGUGAUCAUCCAUCGGUCUCAGGGCACAAGCCACACUCUGCCUCGUGGGGCUUAGGGGAGGUUCCUGCAAGGUGCCCAACACCUGGAGAGUUCCAAGGGAGCGAGGGGCUGUGCCUACCCAUAACAGCACCAAAUACUGAGAGCAGCCGUGAGCCGAGACAGCCAUGGCUGUGCCUGGGCAGGGAGGGGUUCAGGAGGGGCGGAGGAGAGCCAUGACUGGCAGCCCAAGCAAUGGUAGCUGCACACACAGCGGGUUCACUGCGGGCUUUUUGCAUCCCCACCUUCCUGGAUGUGUGCUCCAAUUCACAAGAGGUACUCUGGUUAUUCCGUGACACAAGGCGGGGUAAGAAGCUCGCUCUGACCUCAUCUUUUGCCCUACUUCCUUAUCUCGGAAUCUGGUGCACAGUGCCACACUUGUUCUCCCACAUAGUUUCCUUCACUGCCCUUCUCCUGGUGGGGACGGAGUUACGGAGCAGUGCUUCGUGGGGCACUUACUCUGCACAGCUCCCCGGGUGGGGAUGCAGCUCACGCAGCCAAAAGUGCUCCUUCAGCUGCCUCCUUUAAAGGCAAACUACACCGGUAGGGAUUGCACACCUGGAGCUGAACCAGAAUCCUGCAUACAAGACCCCCACUCAGCAGGAAAGCAGCCCAGGCCUUCAUAGACAAGUGCAGUCAGCAGCACUCUGCGUUGCUCUGCUCAGACUGCAGCGCAGCUCCUGUCUGCCCCGGGAAAGGAUGUGAGCAAUCCCUGACUGCCUCUGAUUCACCGAGGAACAGCCAGACCAAAAAUCACUCCAGAUAAAAAACGCUAAGCUUGGCUUCACUGAUAAUUUAUCUAAUGGCUGGGAAGAUUGGGCUAAUAGAAGGGAGACGAGAGAGAGCAGCACUACAUUGCUAUGGAAACCAGAAUUUUCAAAAUAAAUACCUUUGCAGAACUGAGGUUGCAGAUCUAAAAUAGUCCAUGGCGUUUCUGACGUUUCCUCCCUUUGCCACCAGCCCCUUCCAGGCUGAGCAGCCUGCGGUGACACGGGAUAUCCCACGGCUCAUGUUCCUUAUUCCACUGCUGGGCCCUGAAUAGAAACCUUUGGGCCGUGCCUGUAUUUUUGGGGCCUGCAGACUGGCAGGUCGGUGCAGAACGAGUCCACGAGCACCUGGAGGGGAAGGUGUUAUUUUUAUCCCGGUACAUUGGGAUAUAUGGAUAUAUUCCUCGGCGACCCGAGACAAUACGGUAUAUAAAGCAAACCCUCUUUGCGAAGCUCCGCUCCCUGGGAAGCUCCUUACCCUACAAAUGACCCCGGUGCAAUUACCGUUCAGCCUUUUGCUCCCUGUUAGCCCCAUUUCAUCCCGGAUGGCGUUUGGGCAGAAGGGCUCCCGCAGCCCACACCUCCCGCACCGCCUCGCUGCUGCUGCAAACAAGUCUGGGCUCCGGCAGUGCUGACUCACGGUGCUGAGCCUGUGGGAAAUAUUUGCUUAAAGAAGCAAAGCCCGGCAGGUUUCCUGCCCCUCCUUAUCUGCGAGCCCCUCACACGGCGGGCUGGAAGGGGGCCCUGCUUCCUGAGAGGGGGCACGGGGCGGGCGCUUGUUUCCUCGUGAUAGCCCAGGUUCCUCUCGCCUCCCUGGGAGAAAGCCCCCAGCGCUCUCAGCCGCAGGCAGGUGAAUGUAAACCUUUACAGUGCAGCACGAUGCUGGAAGAGCGAGUUGGGCUGAAGACCUGUAAACACCCCCCGGGCUCGUCUCUAUCAGCUGGAACCUGAUGUGGAAACGUUCCCUGAGUUCAUGCCCUUGGAUUAUACUAAAAAAGGCAAAGUCCUGCUGCACCUCGAGGACACCUAGUGCUGGAGAGAGAGAACAGAGGGCAGCUGCAGAACAGGAACAGUGCUCUGAUGAACCCAGGUGCUGGGUCAGCAAGACAAAAAGCCAAUAUAUUUAGGUAUCUGUGAGGCACGGAUCAGAAGAUGACGUGCAAUACCUCAACUCUUCACCCCCAGUUCAAACUGGUUUUGAUAUAAAACACCGCUUACCAAAGCAAUGUCCCCUAGCAGGCUCAUCACACUGGGAUUUCUUGCAUGCCUCAUCCCUAUCAGAGACUGCAGAGGGAACAGACCCUGCCAUCACUUGGCCACUGCACGCCCCGGCGCAUGGCUUUCACUCUCUUGUGCCUCUCUCCCCCUAUCACAAAUGUACUUUAUAACGCAGGCAGAGCAAAGAGCUACCAUAAAACGGAGACAGCUGACAUCAGCAGCAGGCUGCGCCUUGCAAACCGCAGCUGUUAGGUGAUGGCUGCACAGAGACUGAGGAGGGAGCGGGGUCAUCCCAGGACAGGUGAACUAAGAAGUGAAGGAACUAUUGGGUCAUGCCCCAUACAUAGCAAGCAGCUUAUCAUCGUGGGGAAGCAGUCUUUGUUUUUAAAUCAAUCACUUUGAGGACGCUGGCUUCCAUCUUGUGCUUCCUUGUUAGCAGCACUUUGCUUUAAGAAGCUACAGGCCUUGAAAGCUGGUGCACGGGUAGGGACACAGCUACAGAGAACUGCACCCAGAACACUGCAGCCAGGCCACCACGUCUCACAGGGCACGAAUUGAGGCCGCAGCCCAAAACAACACUGCAAACAAAGCCAGCACUGCCUCCCACUGCCCCUGCGUGCAUUAACUGUACCUGUAUUCCAUGUAUUAGUUCUGUGCUGCACAGCCGCCUGGGAGAACCCAUCUGAGCUGUGAUGUGCCGCACCAGGCUGCCAAGCAGAGCGUUCACACGUCAGCAGAAGCCACGUUGCCCCCCAGAGGCACA